rnacentral:rRNA from 1 species
UACGUAGGGUGCGAGCGUUAAUCGGAAUUACUGGGCGUAAAGCGUGCGCAGGCGGUUUGUUAAGUCUGAUGUGAAAGCCCCGGGCUCAACCUGGGAACUGCAUUGGAAACUGGCAAGCUCGAGUAUGGCAGAGGGGGGGUGGAAUUCCGCGUGUAGCAGUGAAAUGCGUAGAUAUGCGGAGGAACACCGAUGGCGAAGGCAAUCCCCUGGGCCUGCACUGACGCUCAUGCACGAAAGCGUGGGGAGCAAACAGG